rnacentral:lncRNA from 10 species
CAAGAUCGCGCCACUGCACUCCAGCUUGGGGGACAGAGCAAAACUCCGACCCCCGCCCCCCCCCAAAAAAAGACAAGGACCCAGAACAUAAUUUCUAGUUUGUGCAGGACAACAGGGCAGAGGUCAGGAACGCUAGCGCCCAUCUCUAGUCCUUCAGAUUGAGAUUUCACCAUCUUUAAAUUCAAAACAUCGGAAGGAGCAGUCGCUAGUCGGGGCAGAGCAGCUUCCCACCUUCACACAGCCACCUCCACAGGCACAGAGCCCCAGGGCUCAUUUUUCCUGCAGUCUCCAUUGGAUAUAACACUUACACCCACUCAGCUCCCUAGCUGGCCUCCUCUCAGCUGUGAUCGCCUCUUCCCUGAAGAGCUCUCUGAAUUUGAGUAAUGACAUGGCUGUACCAUUCAUUUUGUUUAAACACAUUUUUUUUUUUGGUGAAAAAUUGCAAACAACCUAUAAUUCAAAAAUUACUGUAGGCAAAUAAAUUAUGGCACAUCAACACUAUGUGACUGUUAAAAAUACUUUUUUUUUUUUUUGACGUCUAAAGAUGUCCAAAAAAGCUAAGAAUAUGUAAAGUGCGGUGGGG